GUCCACGCGGUAAACGAUGAGCACUAGACGCCGGUGGGGUGACCUGUCGGUGUCGCAGCUAACGCGCUAAGUGCUCCGCCUGGGGAGUACGGCCGCAAGGUUGAAACUCAAAGGAAUUGACGGGAGCCCCGCACAAGCGGUGGAGCAUGUGGUUUAAUUCGAUGCAACGCGAAGAACCUUACCUGGCCUUGACAUCCGGGGAACCCUCAGAGAUGAGGGGUGCCGCGAGGAGCCCCGAGACAGGUGCUGCAUGGCUGUCGU
rnacentral:rRNA from 1 species